rnacentral:SRP_RNA from 1 species
GCUGGGCAUGGUAGUCCCAGAUGUGAGAGAGGCCGAGGUGGGAGGAUCACUUGAGUCCAGGAGUGUGGGCUGCAGUGCAGUAUGCCGAUCGGAUGUCCCCACUAAGUUCAACAUCAAUCUGGUGACCUCCCAGAAGUGGGGAACACCAAGUUGCCUAAGGAGGGGUGAACUGGUCCAGUUUGAAAAUGGAACAGGUCAUUAAACCCCUAAAUUGCCCAGUGUGGGUUGAAAUUUGAUCCCCCUGCCUCAGUCUUCCAGAGUGCUGGGAUUAUAGAUGUGGCCACCACACCCUGCUCUCCACUUACUCCCCACCACAU